rnacentral:lncRNA from 1 species
GUUGCCAUUGGGCAGCUGUCAGUCGGAGCCGGCCUCCCAUUGGUUGGGCGCUGAGGGAGGGUUGUCGCUAUUGGGCGGGAGGGGAUGUAAACCCUGGCGGAGGUACGGGGGUGCUGAUUGGGCGCCGCGGGGAGCGGCGGGCGGGGAUUGGUUCGCGGAGAGAGCGCCUCGAGACGGAGGGGGGGUGGAGUGGGGGCGGGCGGGGAUUGGCUGGCGUAGGGAGCGCUGAGCUUCUAUUGGCAGAGGGCUGUGCUCCUGCCCUCCUCCUUUCCACCCCAUUGGCCCGUCCUACCUCCAUCUUUCCUCUGAUUGGUCAGCCUCAAACCCUUCCACCCAAUGACGAGAGCGGAGCAGCGCCAGGCCCGCGAUUCCCCCCCCCCCCCCCCCCCCCCCCUUCCCCCCCCCCCUCGGGCUGGGGGGGGGGGGCCCCCGUCCCCCUAGGGACCAAUCAGGCGCGGGCUUAAGGGGGGGGGGAAAGGGAGGGGACGGCUGAGAGCGGCGCUCCCAUUGGCUGCGCGCCGCGCGGGGCCCGGUUUGAAUCGGUGGCGCCGGCCGUGAGGUGAGCGGCGGCCGGGGGGGGCCGGGGGAGACCGGGACUGGGGGGGGAGUCCCCCCCAUGGCCCCCGUCGUGUUGUGCCCUUCGCUCCUUAUAUGGCGAAUUUACCGUCCCCACGUCAAAUUUCAUGGUUUUUUUUUCCACGUUUUGCCCAUAAUCUCUCCGUUUCUGACAGGAAUGGCCAAGUGCAGGCGUCGGCGGAAAGCCAGAGCCAGAGCGAAGCGGCGCCUGACAGGGAAAGGAGCUGCCGCCGGGCCCCGCGGCUCGGGCUGUGCUGCGCCGCUGUCAGCAGGUGACCUUCCGCCGGACCCACCCCCUGUCCCAAGCCACCCAUCCUCACGCUGGUCAUUAGCCUUGCCCAGUGUAAGAAGCGUGGUAAAGCCUCUCACAACAACGGUGUCGUUCUGGUAUUGCUGGUGCCAGAACACUGUUGCGCAGGUAAGUUUUCUGCUUUUCUGGGUUUUGACAAUGUGUGAGGUCAGCCUUAGAACUCAGAUGCAAGAUAUGUCAAAUAUGAAAAGUAAGCUGUAAACUUAAUUAUGUCUGUUGAAACAUCUAAAUAUAUAUUGUGUUUAUUGUUGAAGGAGUAACUAUGAGAAAAUGUCCAAGGUUGCUAUAAACAUUAAAAAUGUAUGUGAAAUUGGAGUUUGUAUAUGGCAGCAUCAGCAGGAUUUGCAGUGUCAGGAGUUGCAGUCUUUCUUUAAUAGCAGAGGUGACUGUGUUCACUUUUCAGGUCCAAUGUGAACUAGACCUUAGAAUUCCUAGAUGAAGUUAAAAGGCUUUUUUGAGAAAGUUGUUCCUGCCAAGGAACUGUUUGGUGAAAGUGUAUCUUCCUGCAGUGCCUUUCUGUUGACCUCAAUGAGAAGACCCUGUGACAGAACUUUCAUCAGUAGUUGGGCCUCUGUAUCUGGAAAUAUAACUGAAAAUAUUUGUUUCUUUUUAUACUCAGAGUUUUAAGAUGGUUAAAGAGACAAUAUUUCCAUCACAAAUCUACUUAAGGGAGCUAAACGCAUUCAGAGAGCAGCUGGAAAAGUUGGAGACCGAAUUUUCCAGACUACAGGGAAUGCUCCAGGUCAGUGUCAAUCCCUG